AUUGAACGCUGGCGACAUGCCUUACACAUGCAAGUCGAACGGCAGCACGGGUGCUUGCACCUGGUGGCGAGUGGCGAACGGGUGAGUAAUACAUCGGAACAUGUCCUGUAGUGGGGGAUAGCCCGGCGAAAGCCGGAUUAAUACCGCAUACGAUCUUCGGAUGAAAGCGGGGGACCUUCGGGCCUCGCGCUAUAGGGUUGGCCGAUGGCUGAUUAGCUAGUUGGUGGGGUAAAGGCCUACCAAGGCGACGAUCAGUAGCUGGUCUGAGAGGACGACCAGUCACACUGGGACUGAGACACGGCCCAGACUCCUACGGGAGGCAGCAGUGGGGAAUUUUGGACAAUGGGCGAAAGCCUGAUCCAGCAAUGCCGCGUGUGUGAAGAAGGCCUUCGGGUUGUAAAGCACUUUUGUCCGGAAAGAAAUACUUGGCCCUAAUACGGUCGGGGGAUGACGGUACCGGAAGAAUAAGCACCGGCUAACUACGUG
rnacentral:rRNA from 1 species